UACGGGGGGGGCAAGCGUUGUUCGGAAUUACUGGGCGUAAAGGGCUCGUAGGUGGCCAACUAAGUCAGACGUGAAAUCCCUCGGCUUAACCGGGGAACUGCGUCUGAUACUGGAUGGCUUGAGUUUGGGAGAGGGAUGCGGAAUUCCAGGUGUAGCGGUGAAAUGCGUAGAUAUCUGGAGGAACACCGGUGGCGAAGGCGGCAUCCUGGACCAACACUGACACUGAGGAGCGAAAGCCAGGGGGGAGCAAACGGG
rnacentral:rRNA from 1 species